rnacentral:rRNA from 1 species
AUAACCAUUGGAAACGAUGGCUAAUACCGCAUGAUGCCUACGGGCCAAAGAGGGGGACCUUCGGGCCUCUCGCGUCAGGAUAUGCCUAGGUGGGAUUAGCUAGUUGGUGAGGUAAGGGCUCACCAAGGCGACGAUCCCUAGCUGGUCUGAGAGGAUGAUCAGCCACACUGGAACUGAGACACGGUCCAGACUCCUACGGGAGGCAGCAGUGGGGAAUAUUGCACAAUGGGCGCAAGCCUGAUGCAGCCAUGCCGCGUGUGUGAAGAAGGCCUUCGGGUUGUAAAGCACUUUCAGUCGUGAGGAAGGUAGUGUAGUUAAUAGCUGCAUUAUUUGACGUUAGCGACAGAAGAAGCACCGGCUAACUCCGUGCCAGCAGCCGCGGUAAUACGGAGGGUGCGAGCGUUAAUCGGAAUUACUGGGCGUAAAGCGCAUGCAGGUGGUUUGUUAAGUCAGAUGUGAAAGCCCGGGGCUCAACCUCGGAAUAGCAUUUGAAACUGGCAGACUAGAGUACUGUAGAGGGGGGUAGAAUUUCAGGUGUAGCGGUGAAAUGCGUAGAGAUCUGAAGGAAUACCGGUGGCGAAGGCGGCCCCCUGGACAGACACUGACACUCAGAUG